rnacentral:pre_miRNA from 1 species
UAGUGGUGGUCAUGAUGAUGAUGAUGAUGAGGAUGGUAUUGCGGUCGAUUUGUGGUGUGGUGGUGCCACCAGCAUCACCAUCAUCAUCAUCAGUGACG